rnacentral:lncRNA from 1 species
AAGUGAAUAGGCUGCUGUGGGCUUGGGGUUCUAGAAGCGUACAAAUUUUUUUCUUUUUCUUUGUUUUUUUUUUGUGACAACGCAAGAAAAAUGUCAUGGAAAAAAGAUUUUUUAAAAAAAUGAAAUCUAGAUUUUUCUAGAAGCAUAGAACUUAUUGGAGAUAAAACUAUCCAUGUAGUAGAAAACAAUUCAUGAUUAAUUAAUUCAUUAUUAGUCUCAUAGCUUUUAAAAAAAAAUCUUUAUAACUUGAGUGUGAGGACGGGUUAGAAGUCAGAAUUAUUUAGGAAUAUUAUCAUCUUAUUUUCCUCGGCUUUCAAAGAAUGAUUAUUUAUUCUUUGAUGAGAAAAAAAAAGAUUGAAUCUUUCUCCUUUAAAGAUAUUCAUUUUAUUUGGAGCAAACUCUGAGUUUAUUUUAGAUGUAAAUUAAAGGUUUAGUUCUCAAAAGAUAGGGUGGGUGACAGUUUGGUCCUUAAACCUUAAUUUGUUGUCAAUUUUGGAUUGAACUUUUAGAAUUAUUGUAACCAAAUUCUAUAAUUCAAUUUAGUUGACUAAAUAUUCAUAUAUUGCUAACGUCAAAGUAAUAUAACAGUAUUACAAUUGAUGAUGCGUCAAUAAUUAAAAUGUCGUAUCACUUUUGAAUCUAUGAUACUUCAAUAUUUUUGUCGACCAAAUUUAAAUAUAGAACUUGGAUUCAA